GACGAACGCUGGCGGCGUGCCUAAUACAUGCAAGUAGAACGCUGAGGGAGGAGCUUGCUUCUCUGGAUGAGUUGCGAACGGGUGAGUAACGCGUAGGUAACCUGCCUGGUAGCGGGGGAUAACUAUUGGAAACGAUAGCUAAUACCGCAUAAGAGUAGAUGUCGCAUGACAUUUGCUUAAAAGGUGCAAUUGCAUCACUACCAGAUGGACCUGCGUUGUAUUAGCUAGUUGGUGAGGUAACGGCUCACCAAGGCAACGAUACAUAGCCGACCUGAGAGGGUGAUCGGCCACACUGGGACUGAGACACGGCCCAGACUCCUACGGGAGGCAGCAGUAGGGAAUCUUCGGCAAUAGACGGAAGUCUGACCGAGCAACGCCGCGUGAGUGAAGAAGGUUUUCGGAUCGUAAAGCUCUGUUGUAAGAGAAGAACGAGUGUGAGAGUGGAAAGUUCACACUGUGACGGUAUCUUACCAGAAAGGGACGGCUAACUACGUG
rnacentral:rRNA from 1 species